UACGUAGGGACCGAGCGUUGUCCGGAAUCAUUGGGCGUAAAGAGCGUGUAGGCGGCUAUUUAAGUCCUGCGUGAAAUCCUGCGGCUCAACCGCAGACGGUCGUGGGAAACUGGAUGGCUAGAGUGCGGGAGAGGAGAGUGGAAUUCCCGGUGUAGCGGUGAAAUGCGCAGAUAUCGGGAAGAACACCCGUGGCGAAGGCGGCUCUCUGGGCCGAUACUGACGCUGAGGAGCGAAAGCGUGGGGAGCGAACAGG
rnacentral:rRNA from 1 species